rnacentral:rRNA from 1 species
UACGAAGGGGGCUAGCGUUGUUCGGAAUUACUGGGCGUAAAGGGCGCGUAGGCGGUGCAUCAAGUCAGGCGUGAAAGCCCUCGGCUUAACCGAGGAAGUGCAUUCGAAACUACUGGACUUGAAUACUGGAGAGGAUCGCGGAAUUCCCGGUGUAGAGGUGAAAUUCGUAGAUAUCGGGAGGAACACCAGUGGCGAAGGCGGCGAUCUGGACAGAUAUUGACGCUGAGGUGCGAAAGCGUGGGGAGCAAACAGG